rnacentral:tRNA from 1 species
GGUAGUGAUUGAUUAUCUAGUCGUGGGCUGUAGUACCGCAGAGGCCCAACAUUUUAUUAUGAGGU